rnacentral:rRNA from 1 species
GUAGUUAGCCGUGGCUUUCUGGCAAGGUACCGUCAACUACAUAUCAUUCCCUAUAUGUAGCUUUCUUCCCUUACAACAGAACUCUGCGAUCCAAAAACCUUCUUCGUUCACGCGGCGUUGCUCGGUCAAGGUUUCCCUCAUUGCCGAAAAUUCCCUACUGCUGCCUCCCGUAGGAGUCUGGGCCGUGUCUCAGUUCCAGUGUGGCCGUUCAGCCUCUCAGCUCGGCUACCCAUCGUCGGCUUGGUGGGCUGUUAUCUCACCAACUACCUAAUGGGACGCGAACCCCUCUUAAAGCGGAUUGCUCCUUUGACCUCAUCCCGAUGUCGGGUCGUGGUCUUAUGCGGUAUUAGCACUUGUUUCCAGGUGUUAUCCCCCUCUUUAAGGCAGGUUGUUCACGCGUUACUCACCCGUUCGCCACUAAGAUAAAACCGAAAUUCUAUCUCCGUUCGACUUGCAUGUGUUAGGCACGCCGCCAGCGUUCGUCCUGAGCCAGAAUCAAACUCUGA